rnacentral:rRNA from 1 species
GUCUACGGCCAUACCACCCUGAACGUGCCCGAUCUUGUCUGAUCUCGGAAGCUAAGCAGGGUCGGGCCUGGUUAGUACUUGGAUGGGAGAAUUGCUAAAUUAUGUUUCUGAAGUUA